rnacentral:pre_miRNA from 1 species
CUUUGGCACUUGUGGAAUAAUCGUGACGUAAUAUCUGAUUAUACACCGGUGCCAAAUAA